rnacentral:rRNA from 1 species
AUAAGUAGGAGGAAAGCGUUGUCCGGAUUUACUGGGAGUAAAGGGCGUGUAGGAGGAGAUGCAAGUCAGGAGAGAAAUCUAGGGGCUCAACACCUAAACUGCUUUUGAAACUGUAUCCCUUGAGUAUCGGAGAGGCAGGGGGAAUUCAUAGGGUAGCGGUGGAAUGCGUAGAUAUUAGGAGGAACACCAGUGGCGAAGGCGGCCUGCUGGACGACAACUGACGCUGAGGCGCGAAAGCGUGGGGAGCAAACAGGAUUAGAUACCCUGGUAGUCCACGCUGUAAACGAUGAAUACUAGGUGUGGGGGGACUGACCCCCUCCGUGCCGCAGUUAACACAAUAAGUAUUCCACCUGGGGAGUACGAUCGCAAGAUUGAAACUCAAAGGAAUUGACGGGG